UGUUUUUUUGCAGCUGCCAGUUGGAACUAGUCCUGCUAAAUGUAAGGAGCUGCUCUUACGUCCUCAUGGCUGCUUUAGCACUGCUGUUAGUCUGGGUUCUGGUGUCAACAUGCUCUUAUGGGUCAACAAAUCAGGUUGUGAAGAACAUCAAUGCAGAACUUGGAGAGGAAACCCUUCUGCCAUGUCAGAUUAAUGGCAGCCAAAAUAUCAAUGCUGUAUCUUGGUCCAAGAAAAAAGAAGAUGGUGAACAAGAUGUCUUUUUGUAUCGAGAUGGACACAUUGUUGACUCAGAGCAGCAUUCCUCUUUCAAGAACCGGGUGGAACUAAAGCACGAAAAGAUGGAGAAUAAUAGCGUGUCUUUGGUUCUGAGAAACAUUUCUGCUGGUGACAAAGGGACAUAUGAAUGUAGGGUUACGCUGCGACAAAAAAGUGUUUUUCCUAACUGCAUCAUCGACCUGAACGUCGCUUCAUGAUCAAGUGCCGUAAGCAGAGAACCCAGACCUGGAUCUGCUGGAUUGAUUGCGGCUCUGACCAUCCUGCUCUGUAUUAGAUAGUGAUUUUUAAUUUUAUUUUUCCUGAUAGUAUUAUAUUUCAUAAUCAUUGGUAUAGUCUAUAUAAUUUUCUUGAUACACUUUACUUGCUUGUUUUCUCCUAUAAAACUUCAAGUUUCAGAAGGAAUCAAGAAUCGUUUAUAAUGAAACAUUUUAUUGGCUCUAAUGUAAACUAUGAAUAUUUUUGCAUAGUUGAUAUCUUUUCAAUUGCUUUAAACAACAUAUGAUGGGACACACUUUAAAAAUUAACUAGUCAAGAAGAA